rnacentral:lncRNA from 1 species
AAGGUGCUUGCUUCCCCUUCACCUUCUGCCAUGACUGUGAGUUUCCUGAGGCCUCCCCAGCCAUGCCUCCUGCACAGCCUGUGGAACCAAAAACCAACUCACAUAUGAUGAAAUGUGAUGGGGGUGAAAUAACAGCAGUGUGAUUUUCGACCACCAACUUGCCUUGGAAGGGAAUUUGGGGAUGUGCACCGCUGGAAGCCAUGUGUUCUGAUAUGAGAAGAACUUCUUCAGAAGAUGUCUUAAUGCAUAUGGGGAAACUGAGGUCCAGGUAAGUAAAGUAAUUUUCAUAGAAAACCGAGACUAGAACCCAUGUUACUCAAUCCCCAGUUAAGACUGAGUUCAUAACACCAUACGGCCAUGCAGAUUAAGUCCUGAACUCUGUCUAUGCAAAAAACUGUGCUUCGUCACUGAGACUGAAAGACCCUCCUCAAAAGGUUUACUCUGUACACCAAAGGGGGGGAAAAAUUUUGGCAUUUUAUAGGCUAAAUCUAGCUUGCAGAUGUCGUUGAGUUUUUUUUUUUUUUUUUUUUCCUGGUUUGUCAAGUGUUUUUGAAAAAUUUGAACUAGUCGAUAUAAUUUAAAAAUCAGGAGUUUUCACAUGCAAAUCCAGAUUUCUGGCUCCCCUUCAAAAAGAGUCCAAGAUCAGGACACACUGGAACCACUUUCUCACAUGGCAGCUAUUGGUUAGAGCAGGUAGUAUGCUGAGCCAGAUCAUACCGGCUCAUAAGAGCCAAUGAUAAAAUAUUCAGAAAUGUUGUGGGCCACGUGUUAAAUGGUAGCUUGAAAUCAGCCGCAGGAUCAUUUACAGCAGCCAUGUUACCAUGGAAACAUGGACAAUGGAAACAUUGGUCCAUUGUCCAUCUGCUCCUGCUCCACAUUGGUCAAGGACGACGCCACCAGCAAAAUUCUCUUGUUCUUCUAGAUUACACAUACAUGAGUUGUCCUGGAAAAUCUCAAGUCAAAGAAGCUGCACUGCAGGAAAUCAAUAUGGUGCAGGCCCCAGGCAAGGCAUCACUGACUAUACUUGCAAGAAACAAAUGCCUGCAAAAAUCAGGACAAGAUGAUUUUGAAGCUGUGCAAAACAGACAUGGCACAGGAGACACAGCAAUAACUAAGUAUGUACAACAAAUCAAAGGAUGGAGCCUCAAACUGAAGCCAAGUCUACCAUAUCUUAUCAAUUUACCCAAUACCAUUGUCUCUCUCUGUAAAGGUUACCCUUUUAUGCACAUAAAUGUGAAUUAGAACAUCUCUGCCCUGCUCCUUUCAGCAGUACAGCUCUGCAAUGACACACGCUGCCAUCCAUUUCACUGGAACAUUUGCCAUAAAGUUGCUUUAAAAGACAUUCUCUUACAAUACUGUCAAUGGCCCUUGCAUUAAAAAUGAGAAAAAUAUGGAAACAUGCAUUAAAAUAUUCAGAAAUAAAUGGCUUUUUUAUUACAUAAAAGCUC